UCUAAUUAUCUAUCUAUUUUUUUUGUCUGGCUUCUAUCUAUUUUCUUUAGUAAAUUUAAAUGUAAAAUAGUGAUUUGAUUUGGUCGAUUGAAAGGGGUGAGUGUUAGUUUUGAUACACCUUUUACGGUUCAUGGUGAAGUUCGUGUGUGACCAAAUUGAAGGAAUUGUGGAGAUUGGAUUUUGAGGCUUUUGCUUCUAAUCACGUCUAAGGAAAGGAAGUGAUUACACGUGGUUGUAAGGCAGAUGCUAAGAGUUGAGGUAACGUUUCAGAGAACGGGGCACAACAAAACGUCACGUUUGGACGCGCUGCAUAUCAAGAAUUUUGCCAAAAUUUAGACGCAAACAACCGCUCAGCAGACUGUUGUAACAUCCCAAAAUUUACAAACCUUAUGAAACGAGCAUACAAUGUAUUCGGGUUUAACAAACUUCCUCGGUUGACGAUUUAAGACGCACAAGGUGUGACUUAACGGAGAUAACUAGUUCAAGGGUUCGAUUGUCAUUAUUUCAAUUUUUUUUUUAUAUAGCUUUGGGGACAAUUUACAUAUAUGGAUUUUGAGGGGCCAAAGCGUAAUGCUAGAAUUUUAAAAACCAUAAGCCAUGUGGCUGGGUUGUGGCUUCCAGUCGUGAUUUAAGGUAAACUAAUCCUUCCUAUAUGGUUUACUUCGCGCGUGGGUUGAAUUAGUAAGGAUUCGGUUAUAGUUUUGGUGGAGAUGGAUGAAGGCGAUGGUGGUGUAGGGUGUCGUAUACGUUUAUGAUGUUGUGCAACGAUGGUGUGCUAAUCAUGGGUUAUGCUAAGAGCGAUGAAGAGGUAUCAUGGUGAUGUUUGGUAUUGUUAGUGGCGAUGCGGUGACGGUGGUGUCGUGAUGCAAUGGUGACGAGGAUACGACGAUGGUGCGUGGUGUAGUGUGGUGUAAAGACGAGGGUGCAUGUGUAUGACGAUGACAGUGUGUGAAGGUGACGAUGUGAGUGUGUAAGAAAAGACACCAUGUGGCAUCGGGUUUACUAUGGUGAACUGUUAAUACUCGAUGGUUGUGAACUGAUGAAAACUCGAUACAUGUUGUGCCUUAGAAACCAGAAUGAGAUCAGGGUUUAUAUAUAGGGACGAGUAUGGUCGCAUGGUGAAUUAAUAGCAGGUUUUGCAUGUGGGGAUGUUUGCACAAGAAUUAUGGGAUUUUAAUAAUAAAAAAAGAAAAGAAAAUAAAAAAAACAACUGCUGGGAUUACGCAUGUGUAUUUAUGCAUUUAAGUCUUGCAAACUAAUCAUUGUGCAAUGAUGGUAUGGUAUUAUGUUAGCUUUUACAUGGUAGGGCUCAUGCAUGGAAACUAGGUAUAAAAGUGCACGGGUAUUUCAUGGUAUCGGAUGUAGGGAAUGAACCAGGGGUAAAAGGGUCAUUUAGCACAUGUUUGUACGUGAGUUGUGGAAGAUUUGAUCUCGGUUUGAGUCAGUAAUAUUUGACCGAGUAGCGGGAGCAAAUGAUGGUAUCCAAAGUUAGAAUUUGUUGCUGAUUAAAAGGAUACGUGGACCUAGUUUAUUUAGCGUGCGGGUUUUAUUUCCUAUUCAAUAAAGUAGUAUAAAUAUCCAAGUAGCAGGAUUUUGGUUUUUUAAUUAAGCAGCUCAUUAGUAUCUUUCUUUGUAAUAGUUCAAAUAAGACAUCAUGUGGCAUCGAGUUUACUAUGGUGAACUGUUAAUAUCCAA